UACGUAGGGGGCAAGCGUUAUCCGGAUUUACUGGGUGUAAAGGGAGCGUAGACGGCAGCGCAAGUCUGGAGUGAAAUGCCGGGGCUCAACCCCGGAACUGCUUUGGAAACUGUGCAGCUAGAGUGCGGGAGAGAUAAGCGGAAUUCCUAGUGUAGCGGUGAAAUGCGUAGAUAUUAGGAGGAACACCAGUGGCGAAGGCGGCUUACUGGACCGUAACUGACGUUGAGGCUCGAAAGCGUGGGGAGCAAACAGG
rnacentral:rRNA from 1 species